CAUCCCUAGAGCUUCGAGCUCUCUAAAGGGUUGUUCUAGACUAGAACGUUGAUAGGCAGGGUGUGUAAGCGCUGUGAGGCGUUGAGCUAACCUGUACUAAUUGCCCGUGAGGCUUAACCAUACAACACCCAAG
rnacentral:rRNA from 1 species